GGUCCCGUGUGGCUCAGUUGGUAGAGCAUGGUGUUCGCAAUGCCAGGGUAGUGGGUUCGAUUCCCACGUGGGACCA